UCAAUAUAAAUGGUCGCAACGCUCCCUCAUCCCGACCCUCCCAAAGCCGCUAUCACUUCCUUUCCUUCUGCGCAGCCUUCUCUCCACAACUAGGGUUUUGGAAGCGAAUCUCAUUUCAGCGACGCCAUGAGGGCCAAGUGGAAGAAGAAGCGUAUGAGGAGGUUGAAGAGGAAGCGCCGAAAGAUGAGACAGAGAUCCAAGUAGUUGCCUUCAUCGAUCGACGUUCAGCUCGCCGGAAUUUCCUUGUUUUCGUGUUUCUAAUCAAGUAAUCAGCAUCGAUUAGUUCAGUUGUAGUAGAACGUUUUAUAAAUUUGUACUGUGUUUGAACACAUUUUGCUUAAUUCAGUCGGAUUUUGAACUUA